GGCACUUAGGUCUUGGGGUGGGAGAGCAGGUGGGUCCUUUUCAAGCUGCAUCCUUUCUUUCAGCUCAUUUCCAGAAUGGGGAGGAUGCAGGGGUUGUCUAUGCUGCAGUACGUACAACCCCAAAGAAGAGCGAAGCCAAGCCUGCAGAGUCAUCCCAGCAGGAAGAGGACUUCUCUGUCAUCUACGCUGAGGUGAGAUGCCCGCAGCUCAGCGAGGUUCCAGCCCAGGGGCUAAACAGAAGCAGCAGGACCCACCAAGAUCCCACUGGUGACCACGAGGAGGUCCUCCGCCAGUGACAGCGUCCCCGCAACAGACACACACCCCCACAGCCUCCAGCGCCACCCGAAGGUCGGGGGGCCCAGCCUCUUCUGUGGGCCCUCCGAGCCCAGCAGCCAGUAGCCCUGUUGGUGGAAGGCAUCAGAAAACUCAGUUACCCUUGCAUGCUUCAAAGGACACAUGGCUGUAGAAUCUGGUCUUAAAGGUGUAUCAGUUUGUCUCAUGUGGUCCAUCAAUAGUGACCGUGGGCACUGCUGUAGUUAGUUCAGUCUGGGUUAUUCGAGGAGUAUGGACUCCCUGUGGCCCAGGCUGGUGAUGAGAGAGAUGAGGAGGACGAGGAAGAGGCAGGGAUGGGGCAGGAGAAGGGAAGUGAGUCCCAGUCCAGCCCACAGCCAGAGUUGUCCUUGAAGAAUUAGGUAUACACUUGCUCCUGCGAGGCUCUGGCCCCGUCUUUGCAGGCCCCUGCACUGGACUCACAGAGAGCGAGGUCCAAGUUGCAGACACUGGGCUGCACCAGACCCCACCCACCUCCUCCAGGCAAGAAGUCAGCGAUCAGAGAGCUCCUGGCCCCUCAGAGCUGCAAACAUCUUGCAUUUCCCCUUGAGCUUAUUAGAAAUGCAGACCCCAGAACUGCUUAAUCAGAAUCUGCAUUCAAUAAGAUCUUCAGGCAAUUUGUAUGUGCAUUAAAGUUUUAAGAU
rnacentral:lncRNA from 1 species